AGAGUUACUUUGAUARAGUAAAUCAUAGAGGUUUAAACC
rnacentral:tRNA from 1 species